rnacentral:rRNA from 1 species
UACGUAGGUCCCGAGCGUUGUCCGGAUUCAUUGGGCGUAAAGCGAGCGCAGGUGGUUUAUUAAGUCUGGUGUAAAAGGCAGUGGCUCAACCAUUGUAUGCAUUGGAAACUGGUAGACUUGAGUGCAGGAGAGGAGAGUGGAAUUCCAUGUGUAGCGGUGAAAUGCGUAGAUAUAUGGAGGAACACCGGUGGCGAAAGCGGCUCUCUGGCCUGUAACUGACGCUGAGGCGCGAAAGCGUGGGGAGCAAACAGG